rnacentral:rRNA from 1 species
GUAGGUGGCAAGCGUUGUCCGGAAUUAUUGGGCGUAAAGCGCGCGCAGGUGGGUUCUUUAAGUCUGAUGUGAAAGCCCCCGGGCUCAACCGGGGAGGGUCAUUGGAAACUGGGGAACUUGAGUGCAGGAGAGGAAAGUGGAAUCCACGUGUAGCGGUGAAAUGCGUAGAUAUGUGGAGGAACACCAGUGGCGAAGGCGACUUUCUGGCCUGUAACUGACACUGAGGCGCGAAAGCGUGGGGAGCAAACAGGAUUAGAUACCCUGGUAGUCCACGCCGUAAACGAUGAGUGCUAAGUGUUGGGGGGUUUCCGCCCCUCAGUGCUGCAGCUAACGCAUUAAGCACUCCGCCUGGGGAGUACGGUCGCAAGACUG